GAUGAACGCUGGCUACAGGCUUAACACAUGCAAGUCGAGGGGAAACGACGGGGAAGCUUGCUUCCCCGGGCGUCGACCGGCGCACGGGUGAGUAACGCGUAUCCAACCUGCCUCUGACUGAGGGAUAACCCGUCGAAAGUCGGCCUAAUACCUCAUGGCAUCGUCUGCGGGCAUCCAACGACGAUUAAAGAUUUCAUCGGUCAGAGAUGGGGAUGCGUCUGAUUAGCUUGUUGGCGGGGUAACGGCCCACCAAGGCGACGAUCAGUAGGGGUUCUGAGAGGAAGGUCCCCCACAUUGGAACUGAGACACGGUCCAAACUCCUACGGGAGGCAGCAGUGAGGAAUAUUGGUCAAUGGGCGAGAGCAUGAACCAGCCAAGUAGCGUGCAGGAUGACGGCCCUAUGGGUUGUAAACUGCUUUUAUGAGGGGAUAAAGUGAGGGACGUGUCCUUCAUUGCAGGUACCGAAUGAAUAAGGACCGGCUAAUUCCGUG
rnacentral:rRNA from 1 species